GGAGCCAUGAUGAUGGAGAAAGGAGACCUGAGGCUGUAAUUGGGACUAGAAGCUUGUUGGCUGAAUGAACAAAUUGUAUUAGGACAGAUGCAGAGGGACCAGAGCACUGAUCAACUGUCACUUGUGGUGGUACUGGGUGUUGAACCUGGAACCUCAGGGUCUCAGGCAUGAAAAUCUUUUUGUAUAACCAUUAUGCUGUCUUUCCAGAGAGGACCAUGAAAUUUAACUCCAGGAUUGCUUCUUCAGUGGUCGUGAGCACUUACAGGGGAGCAACAUUCUGCCUCUCAUUCUCCUUGAUCUUCAUAUCCCAACAUUUGGUCAGGUGUUUAUUAUAAGUGAUCAGAAGUGGACUUUUAAUGGCUGAAGAGAUACUUCCUUUGGUAUGACACCCACCUUGCCUUUUGCACAACCCAGGUUUGAGGUGGACACCAUUUGUCAGUGGUAUGGCCUUAGGGGAAAUGCUAGUGUUGUGGUUCUCUCUUCCUCCCCAUCCAUCCCCAUGUCUGUCUGUCUAUGUCUGUUUUGGUUUCUGAAAAAAUUGGUCCAAAGUGGCGAAGUUGUACAUAUCUGAGGUGCUGGUAACACCAGAACAUAAAGUAAAAAGUAGGGUUUGCGGGAAGAAGAUUCAUGGAGACAAUUGUUUUUUUGUUUAAUAUUUGAUAUGCUUUUGGGCUGGGUGUAAAUAUUUCUUAAUGUGUUAAUCCUGAUAACAGGUUUCUAAUAUUGUCAGGUCAGUUUCCUGACCAGCAAAAUAAAAGUAGCAUUAAUCUGAGUUAUUUAGCAAUUAAUGUGCAUUAACAAAUAAGAAAUAUUUCAAGUGCCGGGUUAGAAAGUUGGCAAAGUGAAACCACACUCCA